UACGUAGGGUGCAGGCGUUUAAUCGGAAUUACUGGGCGUAAAGCGUGCGUAGACGGCUAUCUAAGUCGGGUGUGAAAGCCCCCGGGCUCAACCUGGGAAUUGCAUUCGAGACUGAAUAGCUAGGGUACGGUAGAGGGAAGCGGAAUUUCCGGUGUAGCGGUGAAAUGCGUAGAUAUCGGAAGGAACAUCAGUGGCGAAAGCGGCUUCCUGGACCAGUGCCGACGUUCAGGCACGAAAGCGUGGGGAGCAAACAGG
rnacentral:rRNA from 1 species